AUCUGCAGGCUUCGAGCCCC
rnacentral:misc_RNA from 1 species